GAUGAACGCUGGCGGCGUGCCUAAUACAUGCAAGUCGAGCGAACAGACGAGGAGCUUGUUCCUCUGACGUUAGCGGCGGACGGGUGAGUAACACGUGGAUAACCUACCUAUAAGACUGGGAUAACUUCGGGAAACCGGAGCUAAUACCGGAUAAUAUAUUGAACCGCAUGGUUCAAUAGUGAAAGACGGUUUUGCUGUCACUUAUAGAUGGAUCCGCGCCGCAUUAGCUAGUUGGUAAGGUAACGGCUUACCAAGGCAACGAUGCGUAGCCGACCUGAGAGGGUGAUCGGCCACACUGGAACUGAGACACGGUCCAGACUCCUACGGGAGGCAGCAGUAGGGAAUCUUCCGCAAUGGGCGAAAGCUUGAUGGAGCAACGCCGCGUGAGUGAUGAAGGUCUUCGGAUCGUAAAACUCUGUUAUUAGGGAAGAACAAAUGUGUAAGUAACUAUGCACGUCUUGACGGUACCUAAUCAGAAAGCCACGGCUAACUACGUG
rnacentral:rRNA from 1 species